rnacentral:rRNA from 1 species
UUUGGAGAGGAUGUUUCGGGCACGGUCCGGGCUUAUAUUUCUUGGAACAGAAUGUCAUAGAGGGUGAGAAUCCCGUCUGGAGCUCGGACACGACCUAUGUGAAACUCCUUCGACGAGUCGAGUUGUUUGGGAAUGCAGCUCUAAAUGGGUGGUAAAUUUCAUCUAAAGCUAAAUAUUGGCCAGAGACCGAUAGCGCACAAGUAGAGUGAUCGAAAGAUGAAAAGCACUUUGAAAAGAGAGUUAAAAAGUACGUGAAAUUGUUGAAAGGGAAGCGCUGGCGACCAGACUUGCGCGUCGGGGUUCCCCCUUGCUUCUGCUUGGGUUACUCCCCGGCGUUCAGGCCAACAUCGGUUUCGGGGGUUGGUUAAAGGCCUUGGGAAUGUACCUACCCUCCGGGGUAGACUUAUAGCCCAGGGUGUCAUGCGACCUCCCGGGACCGAGGAACGCGCUUCGGCUCGGAUGUUGGCGUAAUGGUUGUCAGCGACCCGUCUUGAAACACGGACCAAGGAGUCUAACAUCUAUGCGAGUGUUAGGGUGUCAAACCCUUACGCGGAAUGAAAGUGAACGGAGGUAGGAAGCCUUAAGGCUGCACUAUCGACCGAUCCUGAAGUUUACGGACGGAUUUGAGUAAGAGCAUAGCUGUUGGGACCCGAAAGAUGGUGAAC